rnacentral:rRNA from 1 species
ACUCAAAUGAAUUGACGGGGACUCGCACAAGCGGUGGAUUAUGCGGCUUAAUUCGUCGAUAAACGAAGAACCUUACCAAGGUUAGAAAUCCAACUGCAUCUCUAUCGAAAGACUGAGAGCCUUCGAGGGUGUUGGACAGGUGAUGCAUGGUCGUCGUCAGUUCGUGGUUUGAACUGUUCCCUUCAGUGGGGUAACGAACGCAACCCCCGUUGCCUGUUGCCUAUAUGGCCAGGCGAGACUGCUCCCUCACGGGAGAGGAAGGUGGGGAUGACGCCAGAUCAGCAUGUCCCUCUGAUACCUUGGGCUGCACGCAUAAUACAAUGGUCGGUACAACAGGUUGCAAUACCGCAAGGUGGAGCCAAUCCUUAUAAAACCGACCCCAGUACGGAUUGAGGUCUGCAAUCGACCUCAUGAAGCCGGAAUCGCUAGUAAUCGCAGGUCAGCCAAACUGCGGUGAAUACGUUCUCGAGUCUUGUACACACCGCCCGU